ensembl:lncRNA
UUUAAACUUUUAUUUACAUAUUUAUAACUGGAUGCAAUGACAGUAGAAAGUAACAAUGAACCAGUAAAAAAUAGAGAAAUAGAGGGAAUUACAUGGAUAGGUUAUAUUUAAUUUGAGCAUUACCUAUAAAUUUAAAGAUUAUGCUAAAAAUUAAUUGGUAUUCAGAAUGAGUUUUAUGCAUCCAGGAUGGCCAGAAAGACACAUCUCAUUUUUCAAUGCUGUGUGACAGACUUUUCAGCAACUAGCUACAAAAGGAACAGACUUUCUGAUAUUUAGCUGGUUUUCCAUAGCACAUUUAUCCUACACUUAUGCAAAUAUGAAGUACCUCAUGUUCUUGGGCAGCUCAGCACUGAAUUUUCAGAUCCUGAGUCAAAUGACUCUCAACACCUGACAGCAAACUUGACAGCAAUGUUCCAUGUCAGGAGUCACACUCUAACACCCUUUAUUCAAGGUUAUGGCCUGAUCCCAAACUCUUUCCACACCAGUAUUAUGAAAAUAACUUUCACAUUCGGAAGCUUUACAGACUGAAAACACACUCAAAUCCCAGUUUUUAUGAUCACAAGAAUGCCUAUCAGUAUCCCCAAACACCAAGGACACUAUUGUCAUGAAUCAGAUGUAAUCAUUAUCACAAUGGGUUUUUUUAAUCCCCUGCAUCUCCCAGAUUUAUUCUGCAUUACAUGAACACCAUAGAGGUGGAUUCUACACACAAAAACCUGUGUAAGCAGGAGAACUUUCCUUCAAAUACAAACAAAUUAAAUUUUCCAUCAAAUGGAAUUAGCCUCUUAUGGAAUCACUCCAGAAAUCUUAACUGAACACUAAAGCCCUUCAGUCUAACUGGGUUACACAACACUUCUUCUGGUAUAAAGUCCAGCAUCCAGCCUGAUGGUUUCAAGGAACCAAUGUAACAGCAGAAAUGUAAAAAGAAAAAAUUUAUGGAUCUCUGAAGUCAGCCAUUAAAUCCAACCCUUCAGCAGGCAAAACUCUCUCCUUAUGAGUCUUAUGGACUUGGCACUUAAGAUUACUAUAAAAAUGCUUAGGGAAUUCUUUAAACAAAUGCCAGCACACUGUUAAGUAUCAGAGUAUAUUUGAAAUCAGAUUUGGUGCUGCUGUGAUUCCAUGAAUUCUAAUGGAACUCCUCCAAAUUAUUUCACCACUGCAAGUGAACCUGAAAUAUCUCAUUUUGCAUUAUUUUUAGCUGAAAUGUAUGUCAAUGUGAAAUCAUUUGAACUACAUUAGUAGAACUAAAAUGAUCCCCAGUGUAAAUCCAUUCACAUCAGGAAUGCAUUUCACCACUAUAAUUUAAAAAUGUAAAAUGCCCAGGUCACAAUAAAAUUAUUUUUCUGAGAGUUGUCAGCAUCCCUGGGAAAUGUCUGACAGAAGAAGGGGCAGUAAUUUGGAGCCAUAACAGUUCAGCUAGAGGGUUUCUCUGGCACAAAAUUUCAACCAAAGUAAUACCUAACACAAACUUCUAUUUACUGUAAAGCACUUGGGAUCUUUGGGUUUUAGCGUGAUAAAACUAUAUUGUGACUGGACCAAUGGAUAGCUGAAUAAUCAAAUUAUAAACCCAAGCAGAGCUAUUUGCUUCCACUCUGGGAUGCACAAUUCUUUCUGUGAUUCAGAAUGCUGACAGCACAACCUAGCACUGAGCUCUAAAGUCCUUAUUUAUCAUGACCAAGGGUUUAUUCACUGCAGGAAGCUCCACCAUUACCUGAGGACAGACCCAGAACAUUGCUCUGCCAACUGCUAGGAGCCCCUACAGUCAGACCUUUUCCUUCUGCUCUCACAGCAGACCAGCACAUACACUGCAUGCUUGUUUUAAAUUAACAACUCAGUGUUUGAAGAAGAUUUUUUUUGGAAACAUUCAUGUAUCAAAGAAACAGAGCAAAAAAAAAAAAAACUCUAAAUCAGUUUGAUAUUAAUAGCAAUCACUAUUCUUUUGUGUUGCCUAUAGAAGAUGAAACCAGCAGAGACUGUAAUGAACAGAACUUUCAAUGAAACUGAUGAUGUAACAAACUGCAUCUUCUUACACUCCUGAACAGGGGCUUGUCAGCAUCUCAUCUCAGCUGUUUAUCAAAGCACUCCCCUCAUGCUGAGCUCCGUGGCUACAGCAUGAAUGCUCUUUAAAAGUGAUUCAAAGAGUUUUCUCAUUUCCAUUAGAGGUCUGGAAUCCCACCUCUUAGGAUCCACCUCCCCUCUCAACCACUCAAUACUGCAAACAGGUAGUACUUAUUUUCUCUAAGUUCUUUAUUUACCUGGUCAGUGUUUCUUUCACUCCUCAUUGCCAUGGUCCCAGGCACUAAAUGGUCUCUGGUGUCAGACAAAACUAGUACCAAGGCAUUCAGCAAGAGAGCCCUCAUGCCCUUUAGACCAUUAACUGCUAUCUCUGAAAGAAGUACAUGCAGUUGCAGCUUUUUGCUGGGUUUUAUAGAGCACUCAUCCUCACUGCUGAUACUGCUCCCCCCCAUAGAAACAGAGGAUUCAGCACAUUUAACUCAGGUGAGCUGGAGUGAAAUGUAACAUUAUGUUUUGGCAAAUGCCUAUGUAUAAAAUGACUGAGUCACUUCGUUCAAAGCACAGUCGGAAUUGACACCACAAUAAAAAGGAGCUCUUUUUAAUACUUCACAUCAAAAAUAUAGUGAAGCCUGCUCAGUGUUUUAAAAUUAGGAAUCAGACACUUAAACACACAUUUUGAAGCAGGGCUCAGCACAACGCAGUCUUUUGUGUGUUGUCUUUUUUUUUUAUUUUUCUGCAAUGCAAAAGAAGACAAGCAGAGAAACUUUUCGAAGAGACUCACAGAAAAACUAUGAAGGUAAACCCCAGCCAUUAAAGACAAGCCUGUGUCUGCAGCUCUGUUUGGUGCCACUGGAUUCAGCAAAAAAGGCUGAUCUGAUGGAUCAUGUGUAAUACCAUGGAUGCCCAAUUCAGAGUGCUUCUGUUGUUGCUGUAAGUCAGUCACCAACAAGUUCUCUCCCCUGCAAAAAGCCCCUCACUCAGCUUUAAAUGAACAUUGCAAACUACUGUAAUUUAAUGGUGUUAUUAAGAUCCCUUUUUCUUCCAAAACAGCCUGUCCCAGAUCUUAAAGUGCAUAUGCCAAUUUGGUUCAAGUUUUAUCAUCUGGAAUGUUCCACAGUGCCUCUUGAAAAACGGUGACAGUUUCAUUGUGCCUUCCCUUGGUAGUGGUAAGUCUGAAAAAAACCUUGUUCUGAAUCUAUUAUUUAUGUUGUAUGCAGCAAUAUCUUACCUAUUUCAUUCUAGGCUCUGGAAUACACUGCAGGCCAGGUAGUCUGUACCUACCUGAACCUCCUAGGAAGGGCAGUGGGAGGUUUUGACACAUAGCAAAACAUAGCUGGCCUAAAAAUCAGUGAAAAGAAACCAUGGAAUGCUUUCACGAGGACUUCAUGGGACCAAAUAAGUUCAUUUUGAAGCCCAAAAUGCCUGGUUUAGGUCUUAAAUGCUGCUUCAAAUAUACAUGGGCAAAAGCUGUAAUCAAGGGAAAAUGCAGCACCAAUAAUAGCACAUUAUUAAAAGUCAGCAAUCCUCGAUUGUCAGUACUGUAACAACUGAGUAUCUUAUUACUUCUACCUUCUCCUCCCAUACACCGAAUUUCCUCAAUACUGACAAAGUGCAUCUACUAAUCAUAGACUCCGAAUGCUAAAUUAAGCAGGAAAAAAAAUUAUAUAAAUUAGGUUGGUAUUUCUUGAGGGCAUCAGUAGAAAACACCAAUUUCAAAUAAUUUUGAUUAGAAAAUUUUACUUCGCAAUCCUUUUCCAGAUGACAGAUAUUCAUAAUUAAAAAGAGUAUGGAAUUGAUGUCAUGUCAGCUGUUUUGCCACCAGCAUCACAGAGAAAGAAGAAACAAUAAAAUAUGAUGCAGAAUUCACUCUCCCAGUGAUUGUCAUUGAACUAUUACAUUAGUAAACAUUCACAGUAUGAAGUCUCUUUCAAUAUAUCUCCAGCAUAUAAAGUAGUGCAAAAAAGCAUUCCAGUCAUUUUGCCUUUGCAGUCAGACCAGGUUUAACUCUUACUUCAUUUCUUUCAUUAUUAGACAACAAAUGCUGCAAUGCCUCCAAAGAGAGUUAUAAAAAUAAACAAUUUCUGGAGGGUCAACAGCCUUUUCAAAGUAAAUUUCCAGUUAAAAACAAGCAUUAUAGAUUUCAAGAAAAAAAAAUUUAGAUCUAUCUUCUGUAGAAUAUCUUUUUACAAUAAAUUUACCAUUUGAAAAACAAUGACUAUGGUAUCCAAUGAUUUAUGGUAGCUGCUAUUAAAGCACUGAUAAAUAGAUAAAUGACUACCAAACUUCAUUGUUUCUUACAUAGUAAAUACCUCUGAAUGCCAACUUUUACCACAGAGCUGUUAUUAGUGAUGUCGACAGUUCAUGCACCCACUUUAAAACUGACUUGGUUUUAAUAAAUUUUUCAGCCUCAUGUGCAAAACACUUGCAUUCUAAUAAAAAUAUAAAGUCUGAAAAUUUAUCAGAUCUAGCAAUCUUUUCCUCAAGUUGUACCACUUACUUGAUAUGUAAUACAUGUUCAGCAAUGCUUUUUACUUGUAUUUAACCAUUAAAUGGCAUACUACUGUAUGCUGCAGACUCUUGUUUGCAUAUUUCAUUAUUUUCACUGCACUCUUUAAUGCAUAAAUAUAUUUGGAAACGCUCAAAACUACACAUCAGUUUCCACAGAAUUUGAAUUUACACAGUUUUUCUUCUCUGACUCACUGCUAUUCCCUGUGUCUUGACUUUUAGUCUCCUUUACACAAAGAGAUUCUUUAACUCCUUCUUCCAUCUCUAAAUACUCUGAUUUAUCCUCUGUGGAUGAAGAGGACGCGCUCCUAAAUUUCUUCAGUAAAUUUGUUGGGAGGUAAGGGCAACUGACUGCAUUUUGCAUCAUCUGCGUGUGCUCUUCAUUCUCAGUUUCUCUGUGGUAGAAAUAGUUAAAAUUGGAGACAAUCACUGGCACUGGUAAAGCAAUGGUUAACACUCCUGCAAUGGCACAAAGGGACCCGACUAUUUUCCCACCC